rnacentral:misc_RNA from 1 species
AGGCGUUCGGCUCGAACCGUUCUAUGACCGUUCGGAUCUUGUCCAGAGCGCCGUUGGAACGGUCAAGAAGGCUCUCAUUGAGGCAACCGUCCUCGUCGUUUUUCUGGGAAAUCUCAGAGCGGCGCUCGUUGUCGCCGUAACGCUGCCGUUUGCGGCGCUCGUCACCUUCAUCAUGAUGCAGGCGUUCGGGAUGUCCGCCAACCU